ensembl:lncRNA
UGCUGUGACCGCAGAGAUGACAGUCGCUGGAUGGUACUGAAACAGGGAGCUCACUGGCAGAGCUCAGCCUCCUGGGUGGGCCAGUGUCGAGGAGAGAAUUUCAAGAGAUAGAAAGUGACAUUCUCCAGCAAGCAUGAAGAACAAUGCAUGAUCGUUGUUUGUGACCACAUCAGAAUACCCCAUCAUCCCAGGGACUUCCCAAAUGGGGCCAUGUGGGCAAGGAAGGGCAAGGGCUCUUAGAAGUGGCUUCUUCCCACCAGCCCCAGUGAGUACCAGUGCCAAAACCCAGUGGGGUCCUGAAGAAGGAAGACAUUCCUUCUCCCAACUUCCCAAGCUGCUGAGGGUGGUCACAUGACCUCAUUCUGGCCAAUAAGAUAUAAGGGGCCUCUGCUGGGAGGGCCCUGGAAACAUUUUCCUCCUCGACAAAAGAGGUAGGAGAAUUCUCUUCUUUCCUGCCCCCUUCCUGGGAUGGGAAUGCUGUCAUGUAAGGACAUGAUAUUUGGAACAGUUGCAGCCAUCUUGCAGCCAUGAGGCAAAGGCCAAGAAAAAUCAAAAUUCCCAAAGACUUUUGAAAUCAUCGAGCUGUUGAGCAUGGAAUUACCUACCUCCAGACUUCUGGCCAGCUUUCUCUGCCACACUUGAAGGAUGGAAUGCCAAUAUUUUUUUCACUUUCUGGGAAGAUCUGAAGAUUAAAGGCCUCCGUGCCCUCGAGGAGAGCAGAAUGGUUUUCUUGGUUGCUGGUUUCUGAGCCUUAUCAAAGGGACCCUGGCUCCAGCGGGGCUGGUCUGAUCCUUCUGUCAAGAUUCAGCUCAUUCCCAUGUCCUCUCCUCCAUUACUUCAAGGAGCAGUGGCAGCCCCCACACCCCCAAAGGCCACUCUCUCCCUUCUGAGGUUUGAAGCUGAUGGUGUCCCCCAUUUGACAGAUGGGUAUGAUGAGUUCUCUCUGCUAUGCUGGGACUUGUCCCCAACUUGGGCCGGGAGCUUCAUGAAGGUAGAGACACAACCCGUUCACCUAACUCCAGGCCAAUCAUUGGAGCACCUGCCCCAUAAUAAGACCCACAACAGGCCCGGGCUGGGGCCUUUCAGCAGAGGCUCCGACCCCUUGUCAGCCCCCUUUCCUCACCUCGACCACACCACGGCACCUGCUGCUGUAUCUGCCAGCACCCUGGGGGACACCAAGUCCCUUCUGACUGCAAGACCCAGGUUGCCUCUGGAAUGAGCCCAGUUAUCUAACCAGCAAAGGUGCCCACUUCCUCCUCCGCCUGCCAUAGAUGGGCAGAUUUUGCUGGAGCCUGAUGCUGGGAAGUGAGCACGUUUUGUGUUAAGAGCUUCUGAGCUCUGUGUACGCCAGGACCACAGCAGCUGUAAACACUGCAGCCUCCCUUCUCCAGCUAGAUAAACUUCAGGCUUCCAGGCAAGGCGCUGCCCCAGCACUCAGUGUUUAAAAAAGGUGUCAGCUGCCACCCACUCUCUUGGCAGAGGCCAGCUCUCCCUCUCCCAGCUGAAGGCCCCGAUUCUGAGCCACUGAUGCUCAGGCCUGGGGGGCAGGGGGCACAGAGCUCAUCUCCUAAUGGGGCCUGGCUGGGAAUCCUCUGGCUAACAGAUGAAGGGGGGCUGUCUGUGUGGAAUAAAUCCUGGAAUGCUCUGGAGACCCUGACGUCCUCCAGAAGCCCUGCCUGACCUAUGCAGACAUGUUCAUCUCAAGCUUCACAUCCUGUGAAAAUAAGGAUGCUACUCCCUUCACCCCUGACAGGGUGAUAUUUUCACCUGUAUCAUUUGGCAUUCAUUUAGUCACCUGACAUUUAUUGAGCAUCUACUGUGUGCUGAUGUGCCAGGCAUUAUACUGCCCUGCCACUCACAGCUACCUAAAAUUCCAUGUUAGGAAAGACUUAAACGAGUGAGACCAGCCCUAUCUAUAUCUGUAUAUGUUAGAUAGAGAUAUAGAUAGAUAGAUACAUAAUAUAUAUUAUAGAUAUAAGAUUCCCCAUCUCUCACCCCUGAGUCAUAUUUUAAAUUUUGUUCAUCAUUUUUAUUCAACCAACAUUUACAGGGUACCUACGAUGUGCGGGCCACUCUCCUAGACACUGGACAUAAACAAGAUACAAUCCAGGCUCCUGAGGAGCUGCCCACCCAUGUGACAGGGAUGUCACCAGGGAGGUGACCUCCAUGGGCCUCAGAAAGAGGAGGCAGACUGACCAGCAAAGGCUAUGCAGGACAGAAGGACACGAUUAGGGACGUGGCCCACCUCACUGGGAUGGGACCUGGGGCAAGCCUUCCCCUCUUCAGGGCUCCCCGUCCUCUUCUCCAAGUGAGAAAGUAGACUGGGGCUCCCGGGUCUUUGAAUUUCGUGGACAAUAUAUCAAAAACCUAACUGAGAGAGCCAGUCAGCUCACCAACGUUUUGUUCCACUGAGUAAGGAAUUUUAGAGAAAAACGAAAACCAGGCCAACAAUUACCAUCUGCCAUCACCAUUAUUUCAUGAGAGAGGGCAUUUUAACCCAAAAAAGCAGGAAGGGCAUAGUCUCAGAAUGAAGGCUGAGCCUUCAAACCGACUCACUCAGCUGAAUCAAGCUCGCUGUGCUGUCCUUGCCGUCCUCGUGCCGCCCCCUCCAGGGGAGCUUUGUGGUGACUAGAUGAUCCACGGCACUUUCUAGCACUAAUGUCCUGGCAGCUGCUGCGUGUGACCCACUGAAGCCGUGACCAAGAGGCCCAAGCCUAGUGCCAUCUCCAGGCGAGAGAGAGAGAGAGAGAGAGAGAGAGAGAAAGAGAGAGAGAGACACACGGUCAGGGGUCUCUAUCGGACAGUGUUGGAGGAGCACCCAGUCCCAACACUUCCUGGAGCCCGCUGUUCUCUCCCAUCCACUUCCCUCAUCCCCACAGCUGCUCCCCUCUUCUCCUCCCCAAACUCCCUGAGAAACAAUGCCCCUCCCGUCUCUAGUCUUCAGGCCUCCAGCCCAGAGGCCACAGGAGCAGAGGGGACCAGGAGCACUCGGCAGCUCAUGGCCUGUGUGAUGGGGGAGGCUGCCAUUC